rnacentral:lncRNA from 1 species
AAAUAUCAAAGGAUCAUUGAUUUAGUACUUUAUUCAUCAUAAUAACUCGGUCCGCCUCUGCUUGAAGAGGUUCAGAUCUUUACAAUCGUAUUAUUCCUAGAGCGUUACAUGUAAUAUGUUUAGCUUUUUCUAUUAUGAACAGUGUUCCCGAUGAAGAGAGUUUCGAAGUUCUUGUUUCUUGGUAUUUAUAGCUGUGAGCUGCAUAAGCUGGCAACGAAUUGUCAUGGCCAAGUUGAGAAGACGCCUUCAUGGCAUGGGAGGGUCGUAGCCCCAUUGAUUGUUUCAGAGUCAAUUACAAUUACUUGGAGUCGAGCGUAUAGAAUAAUUGGGACGGAACCGGUUUCGUGACCAUCGUAUGAUCAGAUUUUUAUCAAUACACUGG